rnacentral:sRNA from 1 species
AUGGCUGUCGUCAGCUCGUGUCGUGAGAUGUUGGGUUAAGUCCCGCAACGAGCGCAACCCCCGCCCUUAGUUGCUACCAUUUAGUUGAGCACUCUAAGGAGACUGCCGGUGAUAAGCCGCGAGGAAGGUGGGGAUGACGUCAAGUCCUCAUGGCCCUUACGGGCUGGGCUACACACGUGCUACAAUGGCGGUGACAAUGGGACGCUAAGGGGCAACCCUUCGCAAAUCUCAAAAAGCCGUCUCAGUUCGGAUUGGGCUCUGCAACUCGAGCCCAUGAAGUUGGAAUCGAUAGUAAUCGUGGAUCAGCAUGCCACGGUGAAUACGUUCCCGGGCCUUGUACACACCACCCGUCACACCAUGGGAGUUGGUUUUACCUGAAGACGGUGCGCUAACCGCAAGGAGGCAGCCGGCCACGGUAGGGUCAGCGACUGGGGUGAAGUCGUAACAAGGUAGCCGUAGGGGAACCUGCGGCUGGAUCACCUCCUUUCUAAGGAUGGUUCUUCAAGAGCUCGCUCUUAUCGAACCUCUUUUGAAACAUCAGGGGCCAACGAUCGUCAGGAUCGUUGAGCUCCAUUGGCGGGAUUUCGCCGUCUUCGUUUCUCUUUCUUCGCGGACGAACACGCGCCAGGGGCUUGCGCUUGUGCGACGCAUCGGCGCGAGCCGGUUGCGCGCGAGCAUGUCCCAACCCUUCCUUAGGGAAUUGGCCGUUGAGGGCUUGUAGCUCAGUUGGUUAGAGCGCGCGCUUGAUAAGCGUGAGGUCGGAAGUUCAAGUCUUCCCAGGCCCACCACUUUGAUCGAGCGCAUGCGUCUCCUGGCCGGCAACAGCAUUCGUCUUCUGGUACGGGGCCAUAGCUCAGCUGGGAGAGCGCGUGCUUUGCAAGCAUGAGGUCGUCGGUUCGAUCCCGUCUGGCUCCACCAGCCUUCGCUGGCUGCGCCAGCUACGGCUCGGCAAGCCAUCGUAGCGAAGGCUGCCGCGUCGAAGCUCGAAAGAGCGAAGACGGGCUAACUGCUGCUUUCAAUUUCGCCGUCCGCGAAACAUCACUUCGCAUGUCGUGUCCCUUACGGGACGCGCGUGCGGGAUUUCUGACAUCGUAUAGAGGAGAUCGAUCCGAGUUUGGAUCCGGCGAAGCAAUUCGCGGGAAUUCCACUCAUAAUCUCCAGGACAUUUCGGCGCUCGAUCAUCGCAAGAUGAUUGAGUUUGUAAAUGUCCUUUUUGGUGAAGCUUGACCGCCUCAUCAUCGGGUUGAUCUUACGAAGCAAGCUGGUCUUUCUAAUCAUGUCCAGCCGCAUGCAGCAUUCAUCGAGGGUGCGCGCCACGGAGUUUCGACUCUAGGGCAAGUGUGCGGACUACAUCCUGCCGAGUGUGUGGACAUUGAUAAUGAGAGCAAUCAAGUGCCUUAAGGGUGUUCGGUGGAUGCCUUGGCGCUGAGAGGCGAUGAAGGACGUGCUACGCUGCGAUAAGCCGUGGGGAGCUGCGAAGAAGCUUUGAUCCACGGAUUUCCGAAUGGGGAAACCCGG